AUAGGGUCUAGCCCUGGCAUAUCUUCAUACGACCAUGCAAAAAUAUCCGGAUAUUCCCGGAGGAGUUGAAUGAUCUUCUUUUUAACCCCUUCCUCUAGAGUAGCACCAAUCUUGAUUUCUUGCUUGUUUUCCUCGGUACCUAUGUUGAUAAGCUCAAUCUCUUCCUGG
rnacentral:pre_miRNA from 1 species